CUCACAAAGUGGCUGUAAUGUGUGUCCCCGUACAUAUCACAGCCAGCUUUGAUGAGC
rnacentral:precursor_RNA from 1 species